GGGCCGCUAGCUCAACUUGGCAGAGCAGCUGACUCUUAAUCAGCGGGUUGGAGGUUCGAGUCCUCCGCGGCUCA
rnacentral:tRNA from 1 species